GGGGAUGACCGGUUUUGACAGCGUGUAGAAGUGGUAAGUAAGCAUGCAGAGCGAUGAUGCCCACGCUCUUUAAUCAGAGACAUCAAAAAUUUAAAUGGCGAAAAUAACUACGCUCUUGCUGCCUAAUCGAAGUAUAGUAGAUUGCGCUUAAUCUCCGCAACAGUUGCAGAGACAAGACAUCGCCCGAUUGUCGUCGUCCCGAGACUAAUCGACAAGGCGGUGCAGGUAAAUCGGGAAUAGGAGUCUGAGAGCCUCGCGAAGAUUCCGAAAUUUUAGAGGCUAAGGUCGCGGUUGGCUGUCUUUUGCCUGCCACGGCACAAAAACCAAUAAAAGACUAAGCAUGUAGAAAGCUUAUUAGUUCCACGUUUGGACGAGGGUUCAAGUCCCUCCAUCUCCACAA
rnacentral:tmRNA from 2 species